rnacentral:misc_RNA from 1 species
GAAUUCUUUUGUAUUUAAAUCACCAGUUUGGUUCGGUUCGAUAUCGUUGGUUUAAUCCGUUUCAAAAUUGUCGAUUCACGGUUUCUAAAAAAUAUAAAUCUGAACCAAACCGUAGAAGGAUGAUUUUGGUCUAGUUAGAAGUCGAUUUCGGUUUUGACCAGUUUCAGUUCGGUUUUAACCGAAUCGAUUUCGAUUCGGUUUUGAUUUGAAACCGAACCGUGGCCACCCCU